UCCGUUGUGGUGUAAUGGUUAGCAUCAGUCGCUCUCAUGAAAAUGAUCCGACUAGAUCGGGGUUCAAUUCCCCGCAACGGAA